rnacentral:lncRNA from 1 species
GUGACUCAGCCUAGGGGCGCACGCUGUCCUGUCAUCUGGCGCCUGGUGCUCCUUGGCCGGCAUUCCUCUCCUCCCGCUCCUCUCAACAGUUUUAAUUUCCAUUUUCUGAGCCGAGGUGGCAAAGGAACCCUUAACGAGCUCCCCAGGGAGGCCGGCUGGCUGGCAGGCCUGGUACCGAGUCCGGGGGAGACUCAGGGCCAGCUCAAGAGAAGGCUCCAGAAGCCAGCACUGGCUCCAGAGAAGGCCCCUCUGUGAGCCAGAGGCGUCAGCUCCCAGGGCCCCAGGAGGGCUUUCCUGGGUCCCUGCCCACGGGGUGGAGCCGAGAGAGCUGCUGGGCCAGUGGUCGGGAGGAGGGAGGGGCACAGUCACAGGCCCGAUGCCAAGCUUGGUCCUCCUGGGCCCCGUGGAACCCUCCAGGCCUCAGGGGCAGGAACAGAGCAGGGUGGGGCUUCAUGGAGUGAGGGGCGAGUCUCCCCUGGGCUGCCAGGAGCUCCUCUGGGCAGCCCUGCUUGGAGGGACUAGGAGUCCGGGUUGUGGCAUCAGGCAGGAGGAGGUGAAGCGACACUCCAGCAGCCGCCUCCUCAUUGCAGCGCCCUCUCCUGCUGCGCAGUGCCCUGGGGAUGGGGCACAAGCCCUCCAUCCCGGCUCCGAGUCACCGAGCGUCCCCCAAGGCCCCGCUGCCUGGACGCCCCGGCCCCCCAGCAGGCGGCCUGCGCGUGCCUCUGUGCAGUCAGUGAGAAGGGCUCCCGUUCAGAAUGGGCAGAGAAGGGGGCUGCCUCCCACACCUGGCACCAUGGCCUGUGUUCUGUUCACUGCACACUGAACCAUACAUUCAACGCCAGUCAGGGCACCCUCGCACCUGUGUCUGUUCAGGGCCAGCCCCUGCCACCCAGGACAGCAGCCCCGACCUCAACACAAACAGCCCCUCCUCAGGCCGCCUGGGCCCUUGGAGAUCCUGCUGUAACUCCUGCAUCUAUGUCCUAUCACUGGGCUCUGGCCACCCUCGCUGUGAGCCCUGCCCAGUCUCUUCAUCUCCCAUGCGGGACCUGGUGCCACGUCACAGAUGGGCUGAAGCCUUGGAGUUCUGCAAGCAGUAACAGACUCAAUGUGGGUGUCCUUUCCUGCCGAGAGUUUCCUCAGGUGCAGGGCCAGCCGCCUCGGGUUGUUUCUCCUUUGGAAGGAUCCCUCUGGCCCAUCUGGGGGGAGGGCAGCCCAGAGACACGUGUGCACCUGUGUGGGCUGACCUAUGCACAGUGUCACCAAUGUCUGUGACAUUGCUGUAACGGCAACAAAGCUGGAGGCAACCCAGACGCCCGUGGAAGGAAGAACAGCCACAGGAAGACCCAGUCCUGGCAGCUCAGCAUGCAGCCCAGAAACAGAAGAACAAAGCUGCAGAUACACAGCUGGGAAAGGCCACCGAGAUGCUUUGAUAAGUGAGAAGAGGAAAGCCCAGGAGCCGGCAUGGACUUUUCAUUCCUUUUGUAUUAAAAAUGCAGCGUUGGGGAGGUAACGCUGUAUAUUUCUGUUUGCAAGCAAUCUUUGGAGGGUGUUGCAUAACAGAAGAUGUAUCAGGUCUUUGUCCUGGGUCCUUGGAGGAAGCUUCUAAACCCUGGGGGUUUCUCAAAAGUGUGGAGCGUCUGCAUUAUUCCUGGCGGGCCCCUGGGACCACACCUGAGUUUAUGCUAAUGAGGUGACUCGGGGUGGGCUCCUACUGAAUUUCAGGAUGAGGACUGUGUGCUGAAAGACCCAUUAUUAGAGGGUUGGGGCUUUGAGCCACGGGAUGUCAGCCCAACCUCCCAGCAGUCACAGAAGUGGGCUUCAAUCACAUAACCAAUCACUCCACCGAUCACGUUACACAGUGAAACCCCAAUAAAACUCUGG